AACGCACCUUGCGCCUUGUGGUAUUCCACAAGGCAUGCCCGUUUGAGUGUCAUUAAAUCAUCAACCUCAAAACCUUUGUGUUUCUGAGGCUUGGUCUUGAGGGUUUUGCAGGCCAUCCCCGGUCUGCUCCCUUUAAAUCUAUUAGCGAGACUUCCCUGUGCUGACCGUCUCUUGGCGUGAUAAUUAUCUGCGUCAAACUUGGCGGUUCUCGUUGGGCUUGCUUCUAAUCGUCCUCGGACAAUCGGAUUCGGGCGCAUAUAUGCACCUGUUUUCCAAAACCUUUUGACCUCAAAUCGGGUAGGACUACCCGCUGAACUUAA
rnacentral:misc_RNA from 1 species